GGAGGGUUGGCAGAACGGCAAUGCACUGGUUUCGAAAACCAGCGGGAGCAAUCCCUUGGGGGUUCGAAUCCCUCACCCUCCG
rnacentral:tRNA from 1 species